rnacentral:rRNA from 1 species
UACGGGGGGGGGCAAGCGUUGUUCGGAAUUACUGGGCGUAAAGCGCGUGUAGGCGGCCCGGAAAGUCGGAUGUGAAAGCCCUGGGCUUAACCUAGGAAGUGCAUUCGAAACUGCUGGGCUUGAGUUCUGGAGAGGAAGGCGGAAUUCUCGGUGUAGAGGUGAAAUUCGUAGAUAUCGAGAGGAACACCGGUGGCGAAGGCGGCCUUCUGGACAGUGGCUGACGCUGAGACGCGAAAGCGUGGGGAGCAAACAGG